AUGCCUAAUCAAAACUUGGAAGGACACGUGCCUAACUCGGUAAGCCAAGAGCACGUAAACACAUACACAUGCAAAGGAGUGCAUAUGGACACGGUCACCAUUAAAAUACAUGGUUGGGUAAGCCAAGAGCACGUAAACACAUACACAUGCAAAGGAGUGCAUGCGGACAGGGUCACCAUUAAAAUACACAGCUGGGUAAGCCAAGAGCACGUAAACACAUACACAUGCAAAGGAGUGCAUACGGACACGGUCACCAUUAAAAUACACGGCUGGCCGCAUCCAUCAUCAUGUUGUCACAUAUAG
rnacentral:rRNA from 1 species